UACGAGGGGGGCGAGCGUUGUUCGGAAUUAUUGGGCGUAAAGGGUGCGUAGGCGGUUUGGUAAGUCUGAUGUGAAAUCUAUGGGCUCAACUCAUAGUCUGCAUUAGAAACUGCCGGGCUUGAGUAUGGGAGAGGUGAGUGGAAUUCCUGGUGUAGCGGUGAAGUGCGUAGAUAUCAGGAGGAACACCUGUGGCGAAAGCGGCUCACUGGACCAUAACUGACGCUGAUGCACGAAAGCUAGGGGAGCAAACAGG
rnacentral:rRNA from 1 species